UGGGCUUGACAUGUAGGGAAAAGCCGUAGAGAUACGGUGUCCGUAAGGGCCCUAAACAGGUGGUGCAUGGCUGUCGUCAGCUCGUGUCGUGAGAUGUUGGGUUAAGUCCCGCAACGAGCGCAACCCUUGUCCUAUGUUGCCAGCGCGUAAUGGCGGGGACUCGUAGGAGACUGCCGGGGUCAACUCGGAGGAAGGUGGGGACGACGUCAAGUCAUCAUGCCCCUUAUGUCCAGGGCUGCAAACAUGCUACAAUGGCCGGUACAAAGGGUCGCGAUCCCGCGAGGGGGAGCUAAUCCCAGAAAGCCGGUCUCAGUUCGGAUUGGAGUCUGCAACUCGACUCCAUGAAGUUGGAGUCGCUAGUAAUCCCGGAUCAGCUACGCCGGGGUGAAUACGUUCCCGGGCC
rnacentral:rRNA from 1 species